AAUUUUUGUGGAUAACCAUUUUGUUUUUUAAAUUUGAUUGAUACUAGCUAUUUUAUUUAGAAUGCUUAUUUAUAGUGCCCAAUUUUUAUUUACAUCGCUUAUUUUUAUAGUGACACAUAGAUUUUACAUGAAACCUCGCAGGGAAAAACUCAUGCCUAAUUGUUAAUUUUUUUUUUUUUGCUGUGAACUGGGUAGCAAAGAAGCACACAAGGUCUCAUGAUGUAGCAUGAAGAAAAUCAUACUUCGGUAUGAAUACUUGAAUAGCAUGCUGUGUUUUGUUGUAUGUAUUUUUUUUUAAGUCAUUUUCAUCCUUACUGUCUUUACAGUUGCUAAUUUUCUCGAGCCAGCUGUUGGGGAGGUGGGGGUGGAGGUGGAUGGGAAAAGGUAGCGGCGGUGAGUGGUCCACUGCGCUGCCGGCAAGCCAGCCACGCCUGCUCGCCUUGCCGAUACCAGCAUGUCCACCUGAAAUCAGAGAGCGGGGCUGACGGUGUAGCAUACAUACAAUUUCUUCCUUUUUUCAUCAGCAUGGCACCGACCAGGAUCCAUAUUACGAACGUGCUUGUGCAUGAGACUACUCCAGCUGGAAGGUAACAUAAGGGAAUAUGCUCAACUUGGAUAAAGGUGGGCGCCGAUGGGUUGUUUUGGUCAUCGGGUGAACCAGGCAGCGGCUGCUCAAAUGGUUGAUUGCAAGAAUUGAGGUGGCCAUCUUUAUCCAUGAUGGAUGCGAGAAGACGGUGAGCGCUACACUCAAUAGGUCGCCCCCGGUCCGAUGGCACCAAAAGCACAAUCGUUACUAUGCAUGCUGAAUGUGUUAUUGGUUUGUCAUGACUGCUUACAUUAGCAAUGUUAUAUGUUAGAUUAUAUUAAGUUAACACGUUAGUCAAACUCUAUAUUUGCUCCUGUAAUGAAUUUAUCAUACGCCAGUCUCAUCCUACUUACUAUGUAGAGUUCCAACAGUGCAUUGCAGUUUAAUUAUGAUGCCCUUUC